CUGGGUGGGUACAGGCAUGUCUGUGAUUAUUUCUGGGUGUUUUAGACACUCUGGAAUGUCUCGUAUUAACAUUUUUAUGAAAAUAAAAAAUUAAUCUUGAUAUUACGUUCAUCUGAAAAUGACUCUACAAUCUUACUUUUUCCUAUACUCUCCCUUAUGUGGCAGAAAAAUCCUAUGUGUUUAUAAAAUCUUGUUUCAUUUUCCUCGCUGAGUCACCACUUGGAGGAGAGCCCCGAAGGGGAGCCUCCCACCACACAUCAGACUGUGACAUGAGCGAGAAAUAAACCGUGUUGAGUUAAGGCACUGAGAUUUGGUAUUUGUUACUGCAGACUAGUCCAUCCUAUCCUGAUUCUUUUCUUAGGAACAUCUUCAAAAGUCCUAGGAUUCAGGGGCUGGCCCCGUGGCCGAAUGGUUAAGUUUGCGCGUUCCGCUGCAGGCGGCCCAGUGUUUCAUUGGUUCGAAUCCUGGGCUCGGACAUGGCACUGCUCAUAAAACCACGCUGAGGCAGCGUCCCACAUGCCACAACUAGAAGGACCCACAACAAAGAAUAUACAACUAUGUACCGGGGUGCUUUCGGGAGAAAAAGGAAAAAAUAAAAUCUUUAAAAAAAAAAAAGAGUCCUAGGAUUCAUUCUAAUUGAACAUACAUGGGUCAUAUACUCAUCCUUGAAACAAUUACCGUAGGCAAGGAGCAGUUGGCACAUUGAUUGACCGAGGUGGGGCCACAUGCUGUACUCCUGGAAUUGAACACAGAACCUUGGUGAACAAGUGGAUCGAUACUGAGUUACUUUCAGGCUAUGUGUGUGUGCGCUUGUCAGUGGAAGCAGAACCUGAGAGUACGUAUUCCAGAACAGGAUUUGGUUCAAAAGUGGACAUACAGCUUGGCCCGCAUGUGACCUGACUAACGGCCAAGAGAUUUGGAGAGAGAGGGUCUGGCGAGAUCGAAGGACUGCUGUGCCUGUGAUGUGUCAGUUUCCGUUAGAAGACGGAUCCCAUGUGUGCCUGCUGACCUAACAGUUUGCUGAAAGGUGAGAACUGGGGCUAUAGUUUUGGGC
rnacentral:lncRNA from 1 species